rnacentral:rRNA from 1 species
CGCGUAGGCGGGCCGGUAAGUCCGGGGUGAAAGCCCCCCAGCUCAACUGGGGAAGUGCCUUGGAAACUGCGGGCCUAGAGGGAGGUAGGGGCAUGUGGAACUUCGGGUGGAGCGGUGAAAUGCGUUGAUAUCCGAAGGAACGCCGGUGGCGAAAGCGACGUGCUGGAUCUCUUCUGACGCUGAGGCGCGAAAGCCAGGGUAGCGAACGGGAUUAGAUACCCCGGUAGUCCUGGCCCUAAACGAUGGGUACUAGGUUGCGGACUAAACAUGGGUUCGCAGCCGAAGACAAAAGUGGUAAGUACCCCGCCUGGGGAGUAUGGUCGCAAGGCUGAA